rnacentral:rRNA from 1 species
GAUCCUGGCUCAGAUUGAACGCUGGCGGCAGGCUUAACACAUGCAAGUCGAACGGUAACAUAAAGAAGCUUGCUUCUUUGAUGACGAGUGGCGGACGGGUGAGUAAUGCUUGGGAAUCUAGCUUAUGGAGGGGGAUAACUACGGGAAACUGUAGCUAAUACCGCGUAGUAUCGAAAGAUUAAAGUGUGGGACCUUCGGGCCACAUGCCAUAGGAUGAGCCCAAGUGGGAUUAGGUAGUUGGUGAAGGG